AUGGUUGUUGCUCUCUCUACUGUUGAGAUAAGGAUGUAUGUGUUUGUUUGCACUUUUCUCUCUGAUGGAUCCAACUGUUAUUCUGUUUUGAUUGUGAGAAAUGGUGCAGCUGGAACACGUGGUUUAGUCAUAUGUCUGGUUCAGCCAGUAGCAACGUGGACUGGAACAUGUUGUUUAGUCAUAUGUCUGGUUCAGCCAGUAGCAACAUGGACUGGAACACGUUGUUUAGUCAUAUGUCUGGUUCAGCCAGUAACAACGUGGACUGUAACACGUUGUUUAGUCAUAUGUCUGGUUCAGCCAGUAGCAACGUGGACUGGAACACGUUGUUUAGUCAUAUGUCUGGUUCAGCCAGUAGCAACGUGGACUGGAACACGUUGUUUAGUCAUAUGUCUGGUUCAGCCAGUAGCAACGUGGACUGGAACACGUUGUUUAGUCAUAUGUCUGGUUCAGCCAGUAGCAACGUGGACUGGAACACGUUGUUUAGUCAUAUGUCUGGUUCAGCCAGUAGCAUCGUGGACUGGAACACGUUGUUUAGUCAUAUGUCUGGUUCAGCCAGUAGCAACGUGGACUGGAACACAUUGUUUAGUCAUAUGUCUGGUUCAGCCAGUAGCAACGUGGACUGGAACACGUUGUUUAGUCAUAUGUCUGGUUCAGCCAGUAGCAACGUGGACUGGAACACGUUGUUUAGUCAUAUGUCUGGUUCAGCCAGUAGCAACGUGGACUGGAACACGUGGUUUAGUCAUAUGUCUGGUUCAGCCAGUAGCAACGUGGACUGGAACACGUGGUUUAGUCAUAUGUCUGGUUCAGCCAGUAGCAACGUGGACUGGAACACGUGGUUUAGUCAUAUGUCUGGUUCAGCCAGUAGCAACGUGGACUGGAACACGUUGUUUAGUCAUAUGUCUGGUUCAGCCAGUAACAACGUGGACUGGAACACGUUGUUUAGUCAUAUGUCUGGUUCAGCCAGUAGCAACGUGGACUGGAACACGUUGUUUAGUCAUAUGUCUGGUUCAGCCAGUAACAACGUGGACUGGAACACGUUGUUUAGUCAUAUGUCUGGUUCAGCCAGUAGCAACGUGGACUGUAACACGUUGUUUAGUCAUAUGUCUGGUUCAGCCAGUAGCAACGUGGACUGGAACACGUUGUUUAGUCAUAUGUCUGGUUCAGCCAGUAGCAACGUGGACUGGAACACGUUGUUUAGUCAUAUGUCUGGUUCAGCCAGUAACAACGUGGACUGGAACACGUUGUUUAGUCAUAUGUCUGGUUCAGCCAGUAGCAACGUGGACUGGAACACGUUGUUUAGUCAUAUGUCUGGUUCAGCCAGUAACAACGUGGACUGGAACACGUUGUUUAGUCAUAUGUCUGGUUCAGCCAGUAGCAACGUGGACUGGAACACGUUGUUUAGUCAUAUGUCUGGUUCAGCCAGUAGCAACGUGGACUGGAACACGUUGUUUAGUCAUAUGUCUGGUUCAGCCAGUAGCAACGUGGACUGGAACACGUUGUUUAGUCAUAUGUCUGGUUCAGCCAGUAGCAACGUGGACUGGAACACGUUGUUUAGUCAUAUGUCUGGUUCAGCCAGUAACAACGUGGACUGGAACACGUUGUUUAGUCAUAUGUCUGGUUCAGCCAGUAGCAACGUGGACUGUAACACGUUGUUUAGUCAUAUGUCUGGUUCAGCCAGUAGCAACGUGGACUGUAACACGUUGUUUAGUCAUAUGUCUGGUUCAGCCAGUAGCAACGUGGACUGUAACACGUUGUUUAGUCAUAUGUCUGGUUCAGCCAGUAGCAACGUGGACUGGAACACGUUGUUUAGUCAUAUGUCUGGUUCAGCCAGUAGCAACGUGGACUGGAACACGUUGUUUAGUCAUAUGUCUGGUUCAGCCAGUAGCAACGUGGACUGGAACACGUUGUUUAGUCAUAUGUCUGGUUCAGCCAGUAGCAACGUGGACUGUAACACGUUGUUUAGUCAUAUGUCUGGUUCAGCCAGUAACAACGUGGACUGUAACACGUUGUUUAGUCAUAUGUCUGGUUCAGCCAGUAACAACGUGGACUGUAACACAUUGUUUAGUCAUAUGUCUGGUUCAGCCAGUAACAACGUGGACUGGAACACGUUGUUUAGUCAUAUGUCUGGUUCAGCCAGUAGCAACGUGGACUGUAACACGUGGUUUAGUCAUAUGUCUGGUUCAGCCAGUAGCAACGUGGACUGGAACACGUUGUUUAGUCAUAUGUCUGGUUCAGCCAGUAGCAACGUGGACUGGAACACGUUGUUUAGUCAUAUGUCUGGUUCAGCCAGUAACAACGUGGACUGUAACACGUGGUUUAGUCAUAUGUCUGGUUCAGCCAGUAGCAACGUGGACUGGACCAGCGUACUGA
rnacentral:lncRNA from 1 species